CUUAAUUGAGGAUUAUUUUCAGUGUGUAAUGAGUGGACAGAAUUAGACUGCACCGGCGAAGCUGCACCUGAGGAACUCGAGGAUCACUCUAUGGUAGCUCAUGAGGGUUUUCUGUACGUGUUUGGAGGCAUGCUGGAUUCGGCAUAUUCUAAAUGGAGAUGUCCCCUCUGGGUAUUUGACAUUGCAAAGCAGAAAUGGUUGCACUGGCAGGGAAAGAUGACCUCAUCCCAGCACCAAAUGCCAACCAACAGGAAGGGGCACAGCGCUGUGGUACUGGGUUCCAAGAUGCUUGUCUAUG